rnacentral:lncRNA from 1 species
ACACGGCUGGUAAUCUACACACGCAGAACAUUUGGUUCUGCAAUGAAAACCGUGAGAGGAUUUUCCGGUUGUGCUUGAGUGGAGUAAUUGUCACCGCUUCAAAAGGUAUGUACAUUUCUAAAUCUCAAUUUUCUUAUUCAACUGAUCAAAAUAUUGAAAAUCGGAGAAUGCUAUGCUGUGGUGAAUACUUUAACGAAAAGAUGCAUGUAUCAUUUACUGUUGUACGUAGAGUUGAACUCCUACGAAAUCAGUUGUCCCACGAGAAAUUGCCUAAAAAAGUGACAUUUCAAUUUUGAAUGGUUCUAUUUACAGACCUAAAAGUUCAAAUUUAGUAUUUUUUUCGGGCAAUGGGUAUGAAUGUUGCUUUUGGAGGCGUGUGCGCUCUCCGGUGUUGAUAGACGUCUUUAUAAUUCCAAAAACAACAUUUUUCCAUGAAGUCAUGCGUGAGGGGAUCGGUUCUGAUUGAGGACAUCGUGAAUGCGUGAGGGGAAGUACAAACAUUUUUUUUAAUCUUUGGCUUUGUGACUUUUGUUGACUCAAUAAAUGUGAUCAAAUCAAUGCUGAUUAAAAAGCACAGAUUUAUCCUUAUACUUUAAUAGAUGUUAACUGAUCACUGAUUUAAUGAAAUCAAACUAUUAAUUGUUUGUUCAAUUUCAGAAAAUGCCAUUGUUCAAAGGAAAAAGGAAAAGAGGACUGAAAUUGACUCUCUACAAAAAACCAUGGAGAUACAAGUUAUCCCCGCCCUCGAAGCGAACUAAACCCCCUGGGAGUAGUCCUGUCGUCAAAUAUACGUCACAGAGAUCACCACAUAUUUAAGAAAAUUAUAUCGCCGAUGAAAACUUCGACACCUAUUAGACGAAAUCUGUUCGCCCAAAAUCACGAAAUAUUCGAAACAACACCGGCAGAUAUACAGAUGAUUCUAAAAACACA